GCGCUGUCUUGUGCAAUUAUCUCAUUCGUAAUGAGGGGGUCGGGGGUUCGAAUCCCUCUUGCGCACCA
rnacentral:tRNA from 1 species